AGGAUGAGGAUGCAGGCACCGCUGGAGGAGCGCCGGCACACCUGGCACAGCGGGCUGAGGAUGCUGUCACCCCUUGCGAACAGCCUCGAUGGCAUUUAGCUCCAGCCUUUCAUUUUAUGGGGCAGUCGGGGUUUUUCUUGGGCUCGUUUUACACCUCCAGCUCGUGUCCUCCGGGGUGGGGGACAUGGUGCUGCAGCCUCAUCCCACCUGCGGCAGCCGGGAGGGGAGGGGGCACACCCCGAGCCUCACACCCCCACCCCGAGCCAGCCCCUCUGGUCUUUGUUCAGAUGCACACUCGGGUUCACCUUGGCAGCGAGGAUGGGAUGGAUUGGAUUGAUGGAUGGAUGGAUGGAUGGAUGGAUGGAUGGAUGGAUGGAUGGACGGACGGAUGGCAGCAAGGGAGAUAUACUCACCGCAGGGCUGGGCGGGGGGCACCAUCCCCGAAAUAAAGCAGUUAGGGUGGCAGAGCACGGGUGAGGGUGCAAAGGUGUAAAUUCCUCCCCCUGGAGAUCCCUGCCCGCAACACCCCCGCUGGCCAACGCCAGCACUGGGCAGCUGGGACCUGGGAUGGCUGCGGGUGCUCGAGGGGAGCACUUGUGGACGUGCACUGAGCAUCCCCGGGGGUUCAGGGCAGAGGGAUCCCCAUCCCCGGGCGCUGGCAGCACACGUGGGGCCCACCCUGCUGCCGAGCUGCGGGGGGCUGCAGCCCUGCUGGCUGUUAGCUUGGAUUAAUAAGCAAAUCCAUGGAUUUGUGGGGUUUUCGACUGAGCAGCACCGCUGGGGGGAUGCACGGGGAGGAGGCCGGCGGCCGCAGGGAGCUGUCGGGCGCCGCAGUGUUACCAAUCACGGCACGGGAACGCGGCUAUCGAUUGCGGUGCAAACACGGCCGUGCUGGAGCGAGACAUCCCCUCCAGAGCUGCCUCCCGUGCCGCUGCUUCCAGCUGCCAUCCCAGACCCUGCCCACCUUCCCCGGGGCGGCAGGGAUGCUCCUGCUUUACCGCAAAGCCCACCCCGGAGCAUCCCGUGGGGAGGGGGAUGCUGCCUGCCGGGAGGGUUGGAGUCCCUGCUACUCCCCCACACCCCCGCGAUGCUUUCGGGGCCCUGUGGCAGCAGUUCUGCCUCCCCAGACAGCGACAUCCAUCUUGGCCCACUCCUUCUGGGCUCACGAUUGAAGAAUCGGGGUGGGAUCCCCUGUGGUCCUCACUGGGCUCCCAAGUGAGGCAUGGGAUCAUCCUCCACCCGAUGCCAUUUCGGCUUUCCCAGCUGGCUGGUGGGGGAAGGCUUUAUCCUGUGAAAAAGCUCUCCAGGAUUACAGGUCUAGAGCCAGAGAAGGGUGAGCACGUUGGUGGUCGGUGCCAGUGAUACCCAGGGCUGGUGGCGAGAGCUUUGGGCACCGGCAGGUCGGGGUGCCCUGUCGCUGUGGCUUGGGGCACAGCGGGAGCAGCGCUUUGGGCUGUCCCAGAGCUCACGGUGGGCGCUCUCUCUCUCUCUUUUCUCGGUGCCGGCUGGGCCAUCUCGCUGCCGUGCUGCCAGGAGGUGGAGGAUGACUACAUCAAGAGCUGGGAGGACAACCAGCCCGGGGAUGAAGCCCUGGACACCACCAAGGACCCCUGCCAGAAGGUGAAGUGCAGCCGGCACAAGGUGUGCGUGGCGCAGGGCUACCAGCGCGCCAUGUGCAUCAGCCGCAAGAAGCUGGAGCACAGGUACGAGCUCGGCGGCUCCGGGG